UACGGAAGGAGCUAGCGUUGUUCGGAAUUACUGGGCGUAAAGAGCGCGUAGGCGGCUUACCAAGUUGGGGGUGAAAUCCCGGGGCUCAACUCCGGAACUGCCUUCAAAACUGGUAGGCUCGAGUCCGGAAGAGGGGCGUGGAAUUCCCAGUGUAGAGGUGAAAUUCGUAGAUAUUGGGAAGAACACCGGUGGCGAAGGCGGCGCCCUGGUCCGGUACUGACGCUGAGGCGCGAAAGCGUGGGGAGCAAUCAGG
rnacentral:rRNA from 1 species